GUGUAUAUAGUGGAAUGGUAAAAUUUCUCUUUGCCAAGGAGAAGACGCGAGUUCGAUUCCCGCUAUCCGCU
rfam:Beta vulgaris subsp. vulgaris Bvchr5.sca004.con0043.1, whole genome shotgun sequence.